rnacentral:rRNA from 1 species
ACUCAAAUGAAUUGACGGGGGCCCGCACAAGCAGCGGAGCGUGUGGUUUAAUUCGAUGCAACGCGCAGAACCUUACCGGGGUUUGACAUGCUCAGGAAACACCUAGAGAUAGGUGCCCUCUUCGGAGUCUGAGCACAGGUGCUGCAUGGCUGUCGUCAGCUCGUGCCGUGAGGUGUUGGGUUAAGUCCCGCAACGAGCGCAACCCUCGUCGCUAGUUGUACUUCUCUAGCGAGACCGCUGCGCAAAACGCAGAGGAAGGUGGGGAUGACGUCAAGUCAUCAUGGCCUUUAUGCCCCGGGCUACACACACGCUACAAUGGGCGGUACAGACGGUUGCGAAGCCGCGAGGUGAAGCUAAUCCGACAAAGCCGUCCUCAGUUCAGAUUGCAGGCUGCAACUCGCCUGCAUGAAGACGGAGUUGCUAGUAACCGCAGGUCAGCACACUGCGGUGAAUACGUUCCCGGGCCUUGUACACACCGCCCGU